rnacentral:rRNA from 1 species
UAAAGCGCACGUAGGCGGCUUUGUAAGUAAGAGGUGAAAGCCCAGAGCUCAACUCUGGAAUUGCCUUUUAGACUGCAUCGCUUGAAUCAUGGAGAGGUCAGUGGAAUUCCGAGUGUAGAGGUGAAAUUCGUAGAUAUUCGGAAGAACACCAGUGGCGAAGGCGGCUGACUGGACAUGUAUUGACGCUGAGGUGCGAAAGCGUGGGGAGCAAACAGGAUUAGAUACCCUAU